AGCGAACGCUGGCGGCAGGCCUAACACAUGCAAGUCGAACGAACCUUUCGGGGUUAGUGGCGGACGGGUGAGUAACACGUGGGAACGUGCCUUUAGGUUCGGAAUAACUCAGGGAAACUUGUGCUAAUACCGAAUGUGCCCUUCGGGGGAAAGAUUAAUCGCCUUUAGAGCGGCCCGCGUCUGAUUAGCUGGUUGGUUGAGGUAAUGGCUCACCAAGGCGACGAUCAGUAGCUGGUCUGAGAGGAUGAUCAGCCACAUUGGGACUGAGACACGGCCCAAACUCCUGCGGGAGGCAGCAGUGGGGAAUCUGGCGCAAUGGGCGAAAGCCUGACGCAGCCAUGCCGCGGGAAUGAUGAAGGUCUUAGGAUUGUAAAAUUCUUUCACCGGGGACGAUAAUGACGGGACCCGGAGAAGAAGCCCCGGCAAACUUCGU
rnacentral:rRNA from 1 species